UAGGGAAGCCCAAAUAUCUAUGACACGUCAUCACACUUCGCCAAAAAUUAUCUGAUUGUUGCCUUUUCUUUCAAGAAAUAAGGGUCUUGUCAUUAUACAGGAUUUUCAUUAGAGCUGAGCAUUGCAUAGGAGGAGGAAAGACACAUAGAGCUGCAGUUUUAAUUUCUCUUUUAAGGGGCUAAUCAUGGGUCUUCAUUCUUAAGUAAAACGCUACCUUUUCAUUCCCCAUCUUUUCUUAUUUUCAGAUUGUAUUUUGUUGGAGAAUUUCAUAGUGUUUGAAUUCAUUAGGAACAGUUUCUUUCCUUACCGUUUACAUCUUGGAGAAGCUUUUCCUUGCUAAGAAAUUGCAUAGAAGAAUUCUGAUACCGUGGUAGUUGGUCUUGAUUACUGUAAG
rnacentral:lncRNA from 1 species